rnacentral:lncRNA from 1 species
UAUGUCUAUCUGCCUGCCCACCCAUCCAUCAGUCCAUCUUAGCUGUAAGUUCAUCCGUCUAUUUAUCCUGUCUAUCUAUCUAUCUGUCUGUCUAUCUAUCUAUCGCCAUCUAUCCAUCUGUAUAAUCUAUCCAUCAUAUAUAUCUACUCUCUCUAUUUACCCAUUCAUCCAGACCCUGAGCGUGUUCCUCUGCACGCAGCUAGCCUGAUGUCAGGUUUGGCUGGCUGCCCAGGCAUGGGAGAGGCACCCAGGCUGUGGAGAUUGGUUGGCCCAGCCCAGCCCAGCCCAGCCCAGCCCAGCCCAGCCUCCUGCAGCCUUCCCCACAUCAAGGGCCAGGGUCAAAGACCUCCCAGCAGAGGGAGAGAGGAGGUUGUGUGAGACAGGCUGCUGCUGACAGAAGGAUGUCACAGCUGAGCCUGUCCUGGCUGGGCCUCGGGCCGGUGGCAGCGUCCCCGUGGCUGCUCCUGCUGCUGGUCGGGGUCUCCUGGCUGCUGGCCCGUGUCCUGGCCUGGACCUACACCUUCUACGACAACCGCCGCCGGCUCCAGUGUUUCCCGCAGCCUCCGAAACGGAACUGGUUUUGGGGACACAUGGGAAUGGUGAAGUGGAAGGGUGCACAGGACGCACUAGCACAGGGCCUGGUGCAGAAGCUGCUCCCGGGCGGGUGCCACUGUCCUGAUGGGCCGUCAGAGUCACCUCUGCCCCCUAGUGGCCGCUGAGAAGGAAGGUACCCUGUGUGCAGAACCCUCUCCAUGGGAGGAACCAGAACCUGUGUGGACCAGCCAGGACAGGAAGGGAUGUGGGGACCAGCCUUAGGGACAUGUCCUGAGGCCAUACUGCUCCCCACAAAUCUCCCCUGUGAGGACCUCCUCAUAUGGCUGCCUCUGGGCUGAAAUGACUCCCAGAACAAGAAAAUCUUUCCUCUCAAG